rnacentral:rRNA from 1 species
GGUUAAGCGACUAAGCGUACACGGUGGAUGCCCUGGCAGUCAGAGGCGAUGAAGGACGUGCUAAUCUGCGAAAAGCGUCGGUAAGGUGAUAUGAACCGUUACAGCCGGCGAUGUCCGAAUGGGGAAACCCAGUGUGAUUCGUCACACUAUCGUUAACUGAAUACAUAGGUUAACGAGGCGAACCGGGGGAACUGAAACAUCUAAGUACCCCGAGGAAAAGAAAUCAACCGAGAUUCCCCCAGUAGCGGCGAGCGAACGGGGAGCAGCCCAGAGUCUGAAUCAGCUUGUGUGUUAGUGGAACGGUCUGGAAAGUCCGACGGUACAGGGUGAUAGUCCCGUACACCAAAAUGCACAGGCUGUGAACUCGAAGAGUAGGGCGGGACACGUGGUAUCCUGUCUGAAUAUGGGGGGACCAUCCUCCAAGGCUAAAUACUCCUGACUGACCGAUAGUGAACCAGUACCGUGAGGGAAAGGCGAAAAGAACCCCGGCGAGGGGAGUGAAAAAGAACCUGAAACCGUGUACGUACAAGCAGUGGGAGCACCUUUAUGGUGUGACUGCGUACCUUUUGUAUAAUGGGUCAGCGACUUAUAUUCUGUAGCAAGGUUAACCGUAUAGGGGAGCCGCAGGGAAACCGAGUCUUAACUGGGCGUUAAGUUGCAGGGUAUAGACCCGAAACCCGGUGAUCUAGCCAUGGGCAGGUUGAAGGUUGGGUAACACUAACUGGAGGACCGAACCGACUAAUGUUGAAAAAUUAGCGGAUGACUUGUGGCUGGGGGUGAAAGGCCAAUCAAACCGGGAGAUAGCUGGUUCUCCCCGAAAGCUAUUUAGGUAGCGCCUCGUGAACUCAUCUUCGGGGGUAGAGCACUGUUUCGGCUAGGGGGUCAUCCCGACUUACCAACCCGAUGCAAACUACGAAUACCGAAGAAUGUUAUCACGGGAGACACACGGCGGGUGCUAACGUCCGUCGUGAAGAGGGAAACAACCCAGACCGCCAGCUAAGGUCCCAAAGUCAUGGUUAAGUGGGAAACGAUGUGGGAAGGCACAGACAGCCAGGAUGUUGGCUUAGAAGCAGCCAUCAUUUAAAGAAAGCGUAAUAGCUCACUGGUCGAGUCGGCCUGCGCGGAAGAUGUAACGGGGCUAAACCAUGCACCGAAGCUGCGGCAGCGACGCUUAUGCGUUGUUGGGUAGGGGAGCGUUCUGUAAGCCUGCGAAGGUGGCCUGUGAGGGUUGCUGGAGGUAUCAGAAGUGCGAAUGCUGACAUAAGUAACGAUAAAGCGGGUGAAAAGCCCGCUCGCCGGAAGACCAAGGGUUCCUGUCCAACGUUAAUCGGGGCAGGGUGAGUCGACCCCUAAGGCGAGGCCGAAAGGCGUAGUCGAUGGGAAACAGGUUAAUAUUCCUGUACUUGGUGUUACUGCGAAGGGGGGACGGAGAAGGCUAUGUUAGCCGGGCGACGGUUGUCCCGGUUUAAGCAUGUAGGCUGGUUAUCCAGGCAAAUCCGGAUAAUCAAGGCUGAGGUGUGAUGACGAGGCACUACGGUGCUGAAGUAACAAAUGCCCUGCUUCCAGGAAAAGCCUCUAAGCAUCAGGUAACAUCAAAUCGUACCCCAAACCGACACAGGUGGUCAGGUAGAGAAUACCAAGGCGCUUGAGAGAACUCGGGUGAAGGAACUAGGCAAAAUGGUGCCGUAACUUCGGGAGAAGGCACGCUGGUGUGUAGGUGAAGUCCCUGCGGAUGGAGCUGAGACCAGUCGAAGAUACCAGCUGGCUGCAACUGUUUAUUAAAAACACAGCACUGUGCAAACACGAAAGUGGACGUAUACGGUGUGACGCCUGCCCGGUGCCGGAAGGUUAAUUGAUGGGGUUAUCCGUAAGGAGAAGCUCUUGAUCGAAGCCCCGGUAAACGGCGGCCGUAACUAUAACGGUCCUAAGGUAGCGAAAUUCCUUGUCGGGUAAGUUCCGACCUGCACGAAUGGCGUAAUGAUGGCCAGGCUGUCUCCACCCGAGACUCAGUGAAAUUGAACUCGCUGUGAAGAUGCAGUGUACCCGCGGCAAGACGGAAAGACCCCGUGAACCUUUACUAUAGCUUGACACUGAACAUUGAGCCUUGAUGUGUAGGAUAGGUGGGAGGCUUUGAAGCGUGGACGCCAGUCUGCGUGGAGCCAACCUUGAAAUACCACCCUUUAAUGUUUGAUGUUCUAACGUUGGCCCCUAAUCGGGGUUGCGGACAGUGUCUGGUGGGUAGUUUGACUGGGGCGGUCUCCUCCCAAAGCGUAACGGAGGAGCACGAAGGUUAGCUAAUCCUGGUCGGACAUCAGGAGGUUAGUGCAAUGGCAUAAGCUAGCUUGACUGCGAGCGUGACGGCGCGAGCAGGUGCGAAAGCAGGUCAUAGUGAUCCGGUGGUUCUGAAUGGAAGGGCCAUCGCUCAACGGAUAAAAGGUACUCCGGGGAUAACAGGCUGAUACCGCCCAAGAGUUCAUAUCGACGGCGGUGUUUGGCACCUCGAUGUCGGCUCAUCACAUCCUGGGGCUGAAGUAGGUCCCAAGGGUAUGGCUGUUCGCCAUUUAAAGUGGUACGCGAGCUGGGUUUAGAACGUCGUGAGACAGUUCGGUCCCUAUCUGCCGUGGGCGCUGGAGAAUUGAGGGGGGCUGCUCCUAGUACGAGAGGACCGGAGUGGACGCAUCACUGGUGUUCGGGUUGUCAUGCCAAUGGCACUGCCCGGUAGCUAAAUGCGGAAGAGAUAAGUGCUGAAAGCAUCUAAGCACGAAACUUGCCCCGAGAUGAGUUCUCCCUGAGACUUUAAGUCUCCUGAAGGAACGUUGAAGACGACGACGUUGAUAGGCCGGGUGUGUAAGCGCAGCGAUGCGUUGAGCUAACCGGUACUAAUGAACCGUGAGGCUUAACCUU